CCCGCCGUAGCUCAGCCCGGUUUAGAGCGCCCGGCUGUAGACCGGGUGGUCCGGGGUUCAAGUCCCCCGCGGCGGGA
rnacentral:tRNA from 1 species